rnacentral:rRNA from 1 species
UACGAAGGGGGCUAGCGUUGCUCGGAAUCACUGGGCGUAAAGGGUGCGUAGGCGGGUCUUUAAGUCAGGGGUGAAAUCCUGGAGCUCAACUCCAGAACUGCCUUUGAUACUGAAGAUCUUGAGUUCGGGAGAGGUGAGUGGAACUGCGAGUGUAGAGGUGAAAAUUCGUAGAUAUUCGCAAGAACACCAGUGGCGAAGGCGGCUCACUGGCCCGAUACUGACGCUGAGGCACGAAAGCGUGGGGGAGCAAACAGG